rnacentral:rRNA from 1 species
GACAGAGGGGGCAAGCGUUGCUCGGAAUUACUGGGCGUAAAGAGCUCGUAGGCGGUCUGUCGCGUCGAUCGUGAAAACUUGGGGCUUAACCCUGAGCUUGCGGUCGAUACGGGCAUGACUGGAGUUCGGCAGGGGAGACUGGAAUUCCUGGUGUAGCGGUGAAAUGCGCAGAUAUCAGGAGGAACACCGGUGGCGAAGGCGGGUCUCUGGGCCGAUACUGACGCUGAGGAGCGAAAGCGUGGGGAGCGAACAGG